rnacentral:rRNA from 1 species
GAUGAACGCUGGCGGCGUGCCUAAUACAUGCAAGUCGAGCGAACAGACGAGAAGCUUGCGUUUCUGAUGUUAGCGACGGACGGGUGAGUAACACGUGGAUAACCCACCUAUAUGACUGGGAUAACUGCGAGAAACCGGAGCUAAUAACGGAUAAUAUUUUGAACCGCAGGGUUCAAAAGUGAAUUACGGUCUUGCUGUCACUUAUAGAUGUAUCAGCUCUGCAUUAGCUAGUUGGUAAGGUAACGGGUUAACAAGUAAACGAUGCAUAGCCGAACUGAGCGAGGGAUCGGCCACCCUGGAACUGGACCGCGGUCCAGACUCCUGCGAGAGGCAGCAGUAGGGAAUGGUCCGCAAUGGGCGAAAGCCUGACACAGCAGCGGCGAGUGAGUGAUGAAGGUGUUGGGAUCGUAAAACUCUGUUAUGAGGGGAGAACAUAUGUGUAAGUAGAUGUGCACAUCUUGACGGUACCUGAUCAAAAAGCCACGGCUAACUACGUG